UUUUAUUUUUGUUUUGGUUUCGAUAAGUAACAUUUCUUAUUCUUAUUUUGAAAAGACCACUUCCUGUUAGCAAGCGUUUAAACCCGUUAGCUUCACAUCGGCUUUUGCUCGAUCAACUCGCAACAUAUUUUACCCACGGAUUUCAUCCUUAAAAUACAACUUUAAAGGAUUUGCAGAUUGUCAAAGAUGUCGUCCAGGGACAUGCUGAAAAAAGUGGAGCUGUAUUUAAGAAAAGGGAAGUUUCCCCAGAACGUUUCGUCAAAAGAAGUUUAUAUAAUCAAGAGAGCGUCCAAGAGCUUCAUUUAUAAAGACGGCUGCCUGUUGCGUAAGCACAGAGGGCGCCUCCUACAGGUCGUUAUGAGCGACGACAAGGUGCGUGAAAUCCUGUCGCAGCUCCACAACAACGAGAUCCACAGCGGGACAGAGUAUAUGGUCCAACAGAUCAUGGUGAGUACUGAACAAUGGGCGAGGAAUAUGAAAUACAUUUAUUUUGAAAGUGUUGGCCUUUUAUUGACAGGCCCUGGAUAGCGGCUUGUUUCCACCUUUUAGUCCUUUUAUAGAACUUGUUUUGUAGGAGGAGACUGAGCUGCGUCAUGGAUUCGCUCUUAACUGGAGUAAUUCACGCUAUUAUGUUCUUUUAGCUAAAUCUAUAACAUAAUAGCAUCAUUACAAGAAGAGCUUAAGUGCUUUAUUGUCAUUGUACAAAGACGUACAAACGUAUCCAGAAAAACAACGUGGAACACAGAAACCUAAUUGGACUACUGGAGUUUUUUAUGUAAGCUGGGAGGAGUGAGGAAUGACCGUGCUGAACCAGGAU
rnacentral:lncRNA from 1 species